GCCAGCACCCUUAGCACUUUGAAUGCACCAGUUCCCGAAGGGUCACUGAAGUUAAGCAACAUUGCGGGUGGUUAGUAUAUGGACGGGUGACCUUCUGAGCGUUAACAUUAUUUGCUUCGC
rnacentral:rRNA from 1 species